UAGCGUGCAGGAUGACAGGCCCUAUGGGUUGUAAACUGUCUUUUAUGUGGGGAUAAAGUGCGUGACGUGUCAUGCAUUGCAGGUACCACAUGAAUAAGGACCGGCUAAUUCCGUGCCAGCAGCCGCGGUAAU
rnacentral:rRNA from 1 species